UGGCUGAGGUAGAAGAUCUAAUGAUGA
rnacentral:piRNA from 1 species